rnacentral:rRNA from 1 species
UGCAAGUCGAACGUGAAAGCACUUCGGUGUGAGUAGAGUGGCGGACGGGUGAGUAACGCGUGGGAAUCUACCCAGUAGUGGGGGACAACUACCGGAAACGGUAGCUAAUACCGCAUACGCCCUAUGGGGGAAAGGCUUCGGCCGCUAUUGGAUGAGCCCGCGUCAGAUUAGCUAGUUGGUAGGGUAAAGGCCUACCAAGGCAACGAUCUGUAGCUGGUCUGAGAGGACGAACAGCCACACUGGGACUGAGACACGGCCCAGACUCCUACGGGAGGCAGCAGUGGGGAAUAUUGGACAAUGGGCGAAAGCCUGAUCCAGCAAUGCCGCGUGUGUGAAGAAGGCCUGCGGGUUGUAAAGCACUUUCAGUUGGGAAGAUGAUGACGUUACCAACAGAAGAAGCACCGGCUAAAUCCGUGCCAGCAGCCGCGGUAAUACGGAUGGUGCGAGCGUUAAUCGGAAUUACUGGGCGUAAAGCGCGCGUAGGCGGCUAAGUCAGUCAGAAGUGAAAGCCCCGGGCUCAACCUGGGAAUUGCUUUUGAUACUGCUUAGCUAGAGUUUGGUAGAGGAUAGUGGAAUUCCAGGUGUAGCGGUGAAAUGCGUAGAUAUCUGGAGGAACAUCAGUGGCGAAGGCGACUGUCUGGACCAAAACUGACGCUGAGGUGCGAAAGCGUGGGUAGCAAACAGGAUUAGAUACCCUGGUAGUCCACGCCGUAAACGAUGUCAACUAGCCGUCGGGUCUAUUUACAGACUUGGUGGCGAAGCUAACGCGAUAAGUUGACCGCCUGGGGAGUACGG